CCUUGAUGUAUCUUGUAACAUCCAGUUCCAGUGCUUGUUUCUCACACUCGCCGACCCUCGUAGUUUCUUACAGGCUUGAUCUCAGUAUACUGCCACACUGGUCUGCAGAACAGGCUGAAAAGGUGUAUGCUUCACCACUGUCACCCAUGAAGAGCUAAAAAAGCAUGUGUGCUUUGACUCAGUGGAAUGCAAUGUCAGUUGCAAAAAGAAGCAGAAAUUCAUUAUUAAUGUAAGCUAAAGCUCAAGCGCACUCCAAUUUCCCCGCUGUGAGAACUGGAGGGUGCGUGUUCUGCGGGCCCAAACACCAGAGGAAUGCAGAAUGGUCAGUAUGACAUGGAUUUUUAAAAGGUUUCCUAAGGAGAUGCAGAAGAGGAACUACGGAGAGGUAACCCUGACUUCUGCAUUGGGCAAGUUGGUGGAAGCGAUCAAAAAGAAAGCAAUUAAUGGGAGUGUGGAUAAAUGCUUUCAACUGGGGAAGAAUCGGUAUGGAUAUUGUUGACUUCUCUUGACACAUGAAUCCAAUGGCAUUCUUGGAAGGAAUCAGUAAUCAUGUGCAUUAGAAAGGACCUGCUGCUAUAGUCUACUUCAAUUUUCAAACAAUGCUGCUGGGUAACCCUAUAUUUGGCUGGCUAUGCACAGUUGUAGUGCCUCUGUCUCAAAAUGUAUAAACUAAAACUUGAAGAGGCAUCCAGAUGGGUGUGGAAGACUUGGUGCACCUUCUGUAUUAGCCCUGACCGGCUCAACCAGGACAGUUCACCCUGGGGGAAAAAAAAAGAUGCCUGAGAGGGCACUUCACAUGAGAGAAGAUGAAUAGAAAAUAACUCUUUACUCUCUCUCUGAACACAUGAACUCAGGGGCUUCGAAUAAAACUAGCAGUAUCCCCACUCAGAACAAACACAGCACUGUUCUGCACACAGAGCGUGACUAAGCCACACCCAGUUGAUGCAUUUUCAGGAGCUCUGCAGGACUGGAGCUCAUGUGUAGCUCUGCCGAUUUGCUGAACUCUGUGGAAUCAGAGAAGCAGAAUUGGCAGCCUCUGAUGAAACUUUUCAUCUUCCUAUAAUACAGAAAGCCAGCCUAGCAGGCUUUGAACUUGUUGAAACUCAGGCUAUGCACUUGGACCAGACCUUUUAAGACGGAGCCAAUUUUAUCUGAGCACUAUACAUUUUCUGAUCAUAAGUACAGAGAGCUGUUUCUGAGAUGCAAAAUCUUUCUGUAAUUAAACAGUUCCCUUUUAAGCUUGACUUUUUAUGCUUGAAAUAUUUUUUGAUCAGAUAGGUUCUACAAAAGCAGUAUGGAUCCAUUUACACCCCCUGUGAAGAAAAAAUAUUUUCCCCUGAGGGAGCUGGAAAGCUCUGAAAAACGUAUGUUCUGUCACACCAAGUUUAAUGGAGGGGAAUGAUAUCUUUUAACUUGCUCUUCAGAAUAUCAGUGGGUGCUAAGGUAAAAAAUAGUACCAAGAUGUUCUGCAUACAAAUUAAGACCUCCCUGGACAUGUCUCCUCUCUUAGUCACUGACUGACUGGUGUUUAGGCAUUUGCUGUCCCUACCUGGAGUGGCACACAGUUAACUGUUAUUUUUUCAAGGGUGCAUAUCCCACCUUUAAAUCUGUCUCUGUAGCCCAGGGAGUACACUAUUUUAAUUGUAUACAUGUCUUGACCUUCACAUCUUCCCUGUAAAUGCUGGGAACCCCAAGCUGUGCAGCACAGAACAAGCCUGUGAUCCUUCCACAUGCAAUACACUGUGCAGACCCUAUCCCCAGGCACGGUUAUCCAUUUUGGUUAUUUGAGCUAGUCUAGGAUUUUUCUUUCAAGACAGCAACUCCAUUCCUUCUUGCCGAUGCCCAACGGGAAGGAUGUUCACAUGAGAACUUCUUGCUGCCCUGUUAGAUGCUGCCUGCAGUGUUCCCUGUUUCAGCAAGCUGGCUGUAACCAUCCUGCAGACAGAGAAUUUGGGCAGCGCAGCCCCAAAAACCACCCAGCACAGGCCUGGGAUCCCUCAGGUUCACUGCUAAGUGGAUCACUAACUGCUUUAUGUAUAAAAUAUAUAUAGAAAAUAUAUAUAUAAAAAAAAGUGUGUAUAUAUAUAUUACAUAUACAUGUAUAUAUAACAUAUAUACAUAUAUCAUACAAUGCUUUUCCGGUCAGCAUCACUAUAGCUGGUAACUAUUUUCAAGCUGUCAUGAUGAAGCAAUGUUUGUCUCUCAACAGUUAGCUGGAUGGAGUGCCGUCAGAGCAGGACAUAGACAUGCAUGCAAAUUGUUAAUUCCUUCAACUUAAUUUUUCUAUCAGAAAAAGAGAGAUGAAGGCUGCCUUCCUUAAAACUCCUAUGGGUACAAAGUGAUCAGUUAUAAAUUUUAUCUGUACAUGAACUACAAAUUUUUUAGUCUACUUAUUCAGAAAGAUAAUUGUAUUAACAUUUUAUUGACUAUCGUUGUUUCCAGAAAAAAAGAUCGCACACUGUAUCUCAUGUAUAAGCAACUUCUCUGGAAGAUUUUUCAUAAGCGUUUGUAUCUGUUCUGUAAGUAAGGAGCACCAGUCAGUAGACGUUAACUAGAUUUAGUAGAUGGGUCUGCAAGAAUAUUAAGAGAUCCUCAGCAAAUGUGUGGUGAAAUAAAUAUGGAUUUAUAAACUGAAAGCAUCCUCAAUUUUUUUCUGUAAAACUGUUAAUAUAGUCAUGACAGUUUUAUUGUUUACUUAUUUAAAGGAGUAUCUGUGGUCUGCAGUUUGCAGAGACACAGAGCCACGGCUGGCACAUAACAUCCAGGGCUUCCUGCAUAGCUCUUCCAAAUACUGAGCCUACUAGCAAAUUCUUUUGCUCAUAGUGUGACCUCCAUAGGUCAUACUAAUUACAGAGAAGUUGAAAAACAUUGAUUUCUGUGUAGUCUCCUUUUGAUUUUUGCAUUGGUGUUUUCAGAGUAGAAAAUAUGCUUUCCCUCCUUUCGAGAUCUGCUUUCAGGCAUCAUGUGGGGACACGGAAACAAGCAGUUGUUGUGAUGUGUCAUGUAUGUUCUCUCUGUAAUUUUUGGCAGAUCAUUUAACAUAUUUUCUUGAUUUCUGCCUUGGCAAAAUAGCAAAACUGCUACUAUUUUAGUAAAUUGUGUGACAUAAUGUUAAAAGAAUAAAACAAGUUAUUUCUGUUACUGUAUCAGCAACUUCUUUCAGAGAUCUAUGGCAGACAAUUUGCUUAGUAAACUUUUUCAAACUGCAACAAACUGAUAGCAGAAUGAAUGUAUACAAGUAGAACAAAACUACAGAAGAAAGCAAACUAACUAUAACAGUAUCUCAUGUUAAAGAGUUUUGUGUUGUUAGAUAAUAGUACACCAUGGUACUGGCAAUUCUAAGAAUUCAAAAGCUAAACAUCAGUCCCCCCAAAAAAACAUAACACUGGCUUUAAGAGACAUUAUUAAAAAAAAAAAAAAUCUGAGCCAUUUUUUCAUACAUAUAAAGUGUAAUGGCAAGGCAGUAUGACACAUCUUUCAGAAGAGGAAAUGAACAGGCUAAAGGAUAUUUAGAUGUAAAUUCUUUAAUGUUCUAAAAGUGUAAGUAAUUGAAAUCAGCAGUGCUUGAUGAAGAUUUCCCUAAAGCAAUGGUUCUCUAGUGAACUUUCAGCUCUCACAUCUGGCCACAUUUUUUCUCACAAGACAAAGAUAAGUAACUUAAAAAGAGGCUUUCCGCUUAAUUUUCUCAAGGGGAGAGAAAGCAUAGAUUGAGGAAUGAUUGUGAAACAUGUCAUAUAUACAGGAAAUACCCUUACUAUAAGCGACUAACAGCAGUUUCAAAUCUAUUUUCCAAGCAGCUCACAAUAUUGAAAAGUAUGGACUGUGCUUUGACAAUAGCUGUCUCCUUGACAAUUCGCCUCCAACAGCAGCUAAAUAAAAUACAUGCCACAUUAUUUGUCCUUUAGCACUUCCGUGACAGUAUUUUUCCUAGAAAAUCUUAUUUUAAUGUUGUAAUUAGAGGGAGUAUCAAACUGUAUUACCACUCAAAGCACUUAAGAAAAACAGUAGGAAGUAAUUUUUCCUAUUGCAAAUGUUAAGUUGUAUAAUUCAUUAGUACAGAGUGUUAUGGACAUCAAAAACAUAAAUGCUU